AACAGUUUUAUUAAGUUUAUUCUCAGUCAUCGUGAGCAAAUGACGUUUAAACGCAAUAUUAUAUCUCGGACUUUUUUUAAUUUCUUGUUGUGCAGUGUGCCUCCAAAAAGGCAGUUGUUUAUGCGUUGCGGGCAUUUGUUUACUCUUUCUCCAUCUGUUUCGCGAAGAGCAGCUUUUGCGCAGAAUUUCAUGAAUGGAAAGCAGAAGAAGAGGGUAGCCAAAACUGCUGGUUCAUUUUGCCCAGGGACCCCAAAAAGCUGGCCAGUGGAGAAACAAGGAUCCACUAUUACUGUAAUAGAUCAGGCGAGGCAAGGAAAAAGGAAGGUCAUAGUGACCGUCGGGAGAAAAGUCAGGGGAGCUGUAGGUCUGGUAAGAUAUGUCUUUCAUUUAUUACCGUCACAAUUACCGUCCGACACCUGAAGGCACCACCAUAAAAGUCAGGUAUCAAAGAAACCAUUACGGUCAUAAACCAGAAAUUCAGCACUUGAGAAUGAGUGACAAGGAAAAGGCCAGCGUAGCAGAGAACCUAGAAAGGGGUGUGCCCAUGAAAACCAUUCUAAAGCGAGUAAGAACAUCUGUGGCAUCCAAGCUGAGGCCCGUGCACUUGGCAGAGUGCUCAACCCUGCAUAACAUCAAACAGCAGUUUAACAUUGCUGCUCCUGAACAUUGUCACACUAAUGACGCUAUCAGUGUAGACAUGUGGGUGCUUGUGAUGAAAGAAAAAGGUGAAACACUUGUCCGCCUGUACAAGGCACAAGGUGCAGUGGACCCAAGUGGUACAUUUCCUUCAGCAGACUUUGCUCUUGUUCUGAUGACAGAGUCUCAGAAGGAGCUACUAGAAAAAUUGGGCUCUGCAGGUACUGUAUGUCUUGACUCCACACAUGGAACUACAGAGUACCAGUUUGAGCUGACCACUCUUCUGGUGCUAGAUAAAAUAGGAUCAGGUGUAGCUAUAGCUUAUUUCAUCUGCAACCGGAUGAAAGAGCAAACUUUGACAGCAUUCUUCAAAUAUCUGGAGUCGGCCAUGGCCAAAAAAGUGGCUGCUAAGACAUUGAUAUCUGAUGAUGCGUCGCAAUUCUACAAAGCAUGGUCCAUGGUCGUGGGUGCCGCAAAACAGAAACUACUCAGUGCCUGGCAUGUGGAUAACAAUUGGCAUAAGAAGAUACUCGAGUGUGUAGAGAAACAGCUAAGGCCACAUGUUUACCAUAGUGUGUGGCUACUAUUAAGAGUUCCUCGCGGAAAAGGCAUUUGAAGAUUAUUUUAAGCAAUUCCUUUCUAGUGAGGAAGAAAAACUGAGGGACUUCCUGAAGUACUUCAAUGACCACUAUGCAGUUAGGCCGCAAGAGUGGGCCUAUUGCUUUAGGACUAGAGCAGCUGUCAACACUAACAUGCACCUUGAGAGCAAGCGCAGGACGUUAAAGCAUACUAUGCUGGAGAGAAAACAGAAUAAGCAUGGUGACAAACUUAUUUCUGCCCUCAUGGACUUGACAAAUCAUUUUUUAAUGAAAAGGGCUAUCCAGAUGAUGAAAGGGGCAAAGGGUAAGAAGCUGAGCAGAAUUCAGAACCACAGGUCUGGCAGUGAAAUGGCAGCUUGUGCCAAAUUAAAUGAAGAUGGCUGUGCCAAAUUAAAUGAAGAUGGCAUAUAGACUGUGCCAUCUCAGUCUAUUAAAGGGCUCUCAUAUAAAAUGUCAAAAGUGGGAGAUGGUGCUUGCUGUCCUUUGAGGUGUAAGGAAUGUGCACUGUGUGUGCAUACUUACAUGUGCACUUGCUGUGACCAUCUUAUACACU